CCUCCUCGCUCACUUCCGGCAGCAGCCCCUGCCCCUUCCACAGGCAUCUGGAGAAGAAAGUCCUGCCGCAGUGUGUAGUGGGUCUGAGCUCUGUGUGAAUCUUUCCAUCAUCCCAGGUCCAGAAGUGGGAUGUGGUCCAAGGAACCCUAGACAAAUGCUCCCUGGGACACUGCGGAAUGAUUUGCCGGCCUCUUCGAGACAUUUCUGUUGUUCCCCUCCAGGGAUCGCUGUGUCCUCCCAGGAUGAGUCUCUCAUGCUGGACCCUCUCUUUGUCCUGUCCCCCUCUGGAUGCUGGCAAUCUAGGAAGGUGCAGGAGGAAGCUUGCUCCCAGGAUCCAUAUCCCACAAGGUGUCAGCUCCAUAGAGCUGGGGUACCCAUGGCCAGUCAGGAGGAGCAAGGAAGAGCAGCAGUGUAACUAACUCCCUUGAACAGCAGCCUGAGAGUUGUGAACGGGGUGCCCCUGUGCUCCCUGCAGGGGUUGGCACUUCUUUCUCAGCAUCUGGAGAUGGCAGCCUGGGCCUGGACAGGAAGUGUGUGCUGAGUCAACUAGGAAGUGGCAAGAGCUGGUGUCCUGCUUACACAGAGCUCUGUCUACCCAGAACUGGAUGUUCCUCCUGAAACAGGAUGGUAUGGCGGAGUCCCCUCCUGUUCCCCAGCUUUGGACAGGAAAGGUCUUGACUUAAAAAAGCAGCCUUGCAGUGACAGGAAGGCUGACCACAUUUGUAUUUCUCACAGAGGUUUGACAGUGUUAGACAGCUUCUCUAGAGACCCAAGGGAGGCCAGCUAGGUGUUCACCCCGGUGUUUUUCCUGAGAAUCCCUUUCCUAGACCACCUCUAAGCCAGCGAGUGAGACACUGGGCCAAAGGGCCAAAGCAGCUGCCUGGGAGGAGUCACCCAUGCGGUCUAUGGACACUGCCCCUCUUGUAACUUUCCAGUGCUCCGGGAUUCCGACUGGCAGCUCUGACGCCUGGUGGUCAUUUCAAGAACUGCACUCUGGAAGACUUGUCCAUUUUUAUUAUUUUUAGAUGCUUUAGCUUUCUUCUUCCAAUAAAUAUAAAUAAGAUGGACCUUA
rnacentral:lncRNA from 1 species